CUUGGUCUGGCUCCGCUUGUUCUGAGCCAAGUGCAAACCAGCUCAUAACAAAACCGUGUAAGACCCACAGUCCAAUAAAGCCCGUAGGCAGUUCCAUGGGGUUGACAGGCAGUCUUAUUACCUCAUUGCACGAGAUCUUCAGUGUCUGACUACAGGGUCUGAAAUCCCCAUUGUUAGAACUUUCACCAUUUGAGGCUUUGCCCUGGAGGGUAUUGCAUGAACCUGGUAAGGUCAAACAGUCGGUCCCAGGAAUCUGCCCAGAAAAAGCAAAAGUCUCUCUGUCUGAACAGAUAUUUUUAUUUUAAAAAGGGGAAAAUGAGUUCUAGAGAGUUGAAUUGACUUUCCAAGGGCACAAAGGACCUAAAUGAGGUGGAGAAGAAGCUUAAAUA